rnacentral:rRNA from 1 species
CUACGGGACGCUCCAGUAAGGAAUAUUGCGCAAUGGAGGCAACUCUGACGCAGCCAUGCCGCGUGCAGGAAGAAGGCCUUAUGGGUCGUAAACUGCUUUUAUUUAGGAAUAAACCCCCGAACGUGUUCGGGGCUGAAGGUACUAAACGAAUAAGCACCGGCUAACUCCGUGCCAGCAGCCGCGGCAAUACGGAGGGUGCAAGCGUUAUCCGGAUUUAUUGGGGUUAAAGGGUGCGCAGGCGGGCUAUUAAGUCAGUGGUGAAAUCCCGGGGCUCAACUCCGGAACUGCCAUUGAUACUGAUAGUCUUGAGUUUGGUUGAAGUGGGCGGAAUGUAGCAUGUAGCGGUGAAAUGCAUAGAUAUGCUACAGAACACCAAUCGCGAAGGCAGCUCACUAAGCCAAAACUGACGCUCAUGCACGAAAGCGUGGGGAUCAAACAGGAUUAGAUACCCCCGUAGUC